AUUGAACGCUGGCGGCAGGCUUAACACAUGCAAGUCGAGCGGGGUGAUGGUGCUUGCACUAUCACUUAGCGGCGGACGGGUGAGUAAUGCUUAGGAAUCUGCCUAUUAGUGGGGGACAACAUCUCGAAAGGGAUGCUAAUACCGCAUACGUCCUACGGGAGAAAGCAGGGGAUCACUUGUGACCUUGCGCUAAUAGAUGAGCCUAAGUCGGAUUAGCUAGUUGGUGGGGUAAAGGCCUACCAAGGCGACGAUCUGUAGCGGGUCUGAGAGGAUGAUCAGCCACACUGGGACGGAGACACGGCCCAGACUCCUACGGGAGGCAGCAGUGGGGAAUAUUGGACAAUGGGGGGAACCCUGAGCCAGCCAUGCCGCGUGUGUGAAGAAGGCCUUAUGGUUGUAAAGCACUUUAAGCGAGGAGGAGGCUCUUUUGGUUAAUACCCAAGAUGAGUGGACGUUACUCGCAGAAUAAGCACCGGCUAACUCUGUGCCAGCCGCCGCCGUAA
rnacentral:rRNA from 1 species